GUGGCAACGGAAGGGGGCGCGCAUGCGCGCUGGUGGGCGCGUGAACCGGCUUGGCCGCGCGCAUGCGCCGACGUGCGGCGGGCGGGGACGCGCCGGGGGGCGCCGUCGUGCGUGGGGCUUUAGCGCGGUCUCCGGAUCUCGGGUGUGGCUCGCACUUUUCAGGGCGUGUCAGUGGGGCAGCUGGCUUCAGGGUCAGAGUGAGCGCAGUCCAGGCAAACAGCAACGCGCGCCUGACAAAACCCCGGCGCCGCCCGGGGGAGCAGAGGACGGCGCGGCCUAGGGGGCUGCAGGCUCGGGCUGGUAAAGGCGCUGCCCCCGCGGGCGGCACGCUCUUUAUUUCUUUUUUUAAAAUUAUUUCUAUCGAGGCGGAGUUUACGUUGCCGGGUGGUCUCGAACUCCCCGGCUCAGUGAUCCGCCCUCCUGGAACUGCCGCCUCCCAAAGCGCUGCGAUCACAGGCGUGGCCUCCGCGCCCCGCGUUGCUCGCUUUUUAAAAGGGUGGAUUUGAUAAUGUGAGUUAUUUCUCAAUCAAGCUAUUACAUGGAAGCGAAGAAAAGGGGCCGGGCGCGGUGGUUCACGCCUGUAAUCCCAGCACUUUGAAAGGCCGAGGCAGGCGGAUCACCUGAGGUCAGGAGUUCGAAACCAGCCUGACCAACAUGGAAUAGAAACCGGUUUGAUGAUGCAACUGGUGCUUGCAAAAUACCUCAAAAGUGGCCUGCACGGUGGCUCACGCCUGUAAUCCCAGCACUUUGGGAAGUCGAGGUGGGCGGAUCACUUGAGGUCAGGAGUUGAAGACCAGCCCGAUCAACAUGGCAAAACCCCUUCUCUACAAUAAAUACAAAAAUUAGCUGGACGUGA